UGUUUCUCAAUGUAAGUCAAUGGGACUUUGGCCUUUUUGCAACCCAGUGGUGCUUCCUAUAUGGAACACGGAAGUAGGGGGAGGGGCUUGCUUUGUCCAGUUAUUUUAUAUACAGUCUAUGGUCCUCGGUGAAGCGGAGAUGGCGCUCCUCCUGUAGGAUGGGAUUAUUUUUCGCGGCUUUCCACACGGCGUCUCGGUGCCUUUCUCCACCCCCCCAGCAGCGACUUGGUCUCGCCGACGAUGCAGGCGAGGCGCUGGGUCAUCUGAAACACACCUACUGUCUCCAAAUCGGUGGAAAACUUUACGGCUCGGUGAUGUCAUCAAUAGUCGCCGGUCAUCUACAUGAGCGUGUAGCUGCCAGCGCUCAGAAAAUGAACAACAACAUCGGCUUUGUAACUUUAGAAAGUCAUGCUAAAACAAAACCUUCCUAUUUAUAUUUACAAAUAAACUUGUGUGCUUCAGA